rnacentral:snRNA from 1 species
GGAUGUAAGAGGGAUCUGGCUGUGACAUCUGUCACCCCAUUGAUGGCCAUGGUUGAUUCAGGCAAUCUGGCUGGCUAGGUGUCCCCUUCCUUCCUCACUGCUCCACGUGCAUCCCUUCUGAAGCUUUGGGCUGCAAGCUUGGGGGUGGAGGAUGACCUUACCCAAUAGAGGCAAGGACCUUCUUCCGUCGACGGUAUACGAGCAGCUGAGUUCCCUACUAGAACCUCCAAACAAGCUCUCCAUGUUCACUUGUAGGAGAACGUAGGGUAGUCAAGCUCCCAAGGCUCCGGACACAUCCAAAUGAGGAGCUGCAUGUGGCAGUCUGCAUUU